AGCUGAUCAGCCAUGCCGCGUGUGUGAGAAGGUCUUCGGAUUGUAAAGCACUUUAAGUUGGGAGGAAGGGCAGUAAGUUAAUACCUUGCUGUUUUGACGUUACCAACAGAAUAAGCACCGGCUAACUUCGUGCCAGCAGCCGCGGUAAUACGAAGGGUGC
rnacentral:rRNA from 1 species